rnacentral:rRNA from 1 species
UACGGAGGGUGCAAGCGUUAUCCGGAAUGAUUGGGCGUAAAGCGUCCGCAGGUGGCACUACAAGUCUGCUGUCAAAGACUGGGGCUCAACCCUGGAGCGGCGGUGGAAACUGUAGAGCUAGAGAACGGUAGGGGCAGAGGGAAUUCUCAGUGUAGCGGUGAAAUGCGUAGAGAUUGGGAAGAACACCAGUGGCGAAAGCGCUCUGCUAGGCCGGGUCUGACACUCAGGGACGAAAGCUAGGGGAGCGAAUGGG